AGAGUUUGAUCCUGGCUCAGAACGAACGCUGGCGGCAGGCCUAAUACAUGCAAGUCGAGCGCAUCCUUCGGGAUGAGCGGCGGACGGGUGAGUAACGCGUGGGAAUAUGCCCUUCUCUAAGGAAUAGCCUCGGGAAACUGAGAGUAAUACCUUAUACGCCCUUCGGGGGAAAGAUUUAUCGGAGAAGGAUUAGCCCGCGUUAGAUUAGGUAGUUGGUGGGGUAAUGGCCUACCAAGCCUACGAUCUAUAGCUGGUUUGAGAGGAUGAUCAGCCACACUGGGACUGAGACACGGCCCAGACUCCUACGGGAGGCAGCAGUAGGGAAUCUUAGACAAUGGGGGAAACCCUGAUCUAGCCAUGCCGCGUGUGUGAUGAAGGCCUUAGGGUCGUAAAGCACUUUCGCCAGAGAUGAUAAUGACAGUAUCUGGUAAAGAAACCCCGGCUAACUCCGUGCCAGCAGCCGCGGUAAUACGGAGGGGGUUAGCGUUGUUCGGAAUUACUGGGCGUAAAGCGCACGUAGGCGGAUUAGUAAGUUAGAGGUGAAAUCCCAGGGCUCAACCCUGGAACUGCCUUUAAUACUGCUAGUCUUGAGUUCGAGAGAGGUAAGUGGAAUUCCGAGUGUAGAGGUGAAAUUCGUAGAUAUUCGGAGGAACACCAGUGGCGAAGGCGGCUUACUGGCUCGAUACUGACGCUGAGGUGCGAAAGUGUGGGGAGCAAACAGGAUUAGAUACCCUGGUAGUCCACACCGUAAACGAUGAAUGCCAGACGUCAGCAAGUAUACUUGUUGGUGUCACACCUAACGGAUUAAGCAUUCCGCCUGGGGAGUACGGUCGCAAGAUUAA
rnacentral:rRNA from 1 species